rnacentral:misc_RNA from 1 species
AUUUGCUUUCCUUUUCCUCGCUCCUCCUCAGCUAAACGAUGCCUUCACCAGCCACCUAAUAAGUGACAGACCCAUUGCGUCAAAAUGGCGCAUUAGGCCCUUGAAAUUUUAAAUUUUUUAAGGAGUAUAGUGAUAAUUUAAAAGAAAAUUCUACUAUUACUCUUAUAAAAUUUUUUAGCGCACUAGAUUACUUGGAGUAUUUUAGAACCGAUAGCCUUAAUAGUGUUUUUAUGUAUUUCUUUUGUUUAUAAUUGCUUGGGGGCAUAAGGCUUGGGAUAAAAUGAGCUUCUUCAUUGAUGGUAGGUAUGAGCAGGAACUUGGCACGCAGUCCCAUCUCUCUCUCAUUUAGAGAGAGAAAUCUUCUUUGGGUGGGUUUCCUCUGAGAUUCGGAGUCUCUUCUUUCUGCUGGGUUCAUCAGCUAUCCCCUGCCCCUUCCGGGCGGAGGUUGGCUUUCCUCUCCCUGCCAGUUGUGGGUCUCCCUCCCCAUUUUCUAGUGGGGUUGUAUAUAGCAUUUUGGUGUAAUUUUGUUUCAUGCAGGUUUACUUUUGUAUUGAGAGGGUCCUUUAGAUACCUGCUUUGGUUUUUAAGUUAUGAGUGUAAUAGAUUUGCUUUGCUAUUGUAUUGAGAAGGUCCUUGUGGCUGUGAUUCUUUUACUAGGCAAUAGAUCUGUUUUAGGAUUAAGCUUUUAGUGGCUAUGGAAGUCAGACAUCGAUGCUUCCCUUGGCUUGAUGGUGUGAGGAUGUACUGCUGUGAAGAGGAAGACAUCUUGCUGGGUUCAGUUUGGCCUGACAUGCGUGAGUGGGUUGCCAAGAUUUUUUCUCCUCCCUUCAUCGACUAUAUGAUGCUUUAAUGGUGAUGCUUUCCCUUGACCUGGGGUUUCUUAGGCCAUUGAUACCUUGAUGCUCCAGCAAUGAGUGAUACCUCCUUUAAUCCUCAGUUUGCAUGUUAAGCCAUUUUUGGUGUCAAUUAUCUGGAGAUCCUCUAUUUCUCUGCCAUGGUUGACUGUGGCUGGUGUUGGCAUAGUUGACUACUUGCUGUAAUUUCCAUAUUAGUUUCACAAUUAUGGGAUUUGAUUUCAUAAUUAAAGGAGUUUAAUUAGGUGACAACUAUUGUAUAAGAAUGUAAUUAGUAGUUUUGUUGUAUAGGUGUAUAUUUAGUUUCCGAGAAUAGUGUUACUUCCUUUUCUUCUAUGAUGUAAUAGUAUCUAUAUAUUGACUCCAAUCCUAGAGAAGAAAAU